GACGAACGCUGGCGGCGUGCUUAACACAUGCAAGUCGAACGGUGAAGCGCCUUCCUUUUUGGUGGGUGUGGAUGAGUGGCGAACGGGUGAGUAACACGUGAGUAACCUGCUCCCUUCUUCUGGAUAACCGCAUGAAAGUGUGGCUAAUACGGGAUAUUCUGGGCCUGUCGCAUGAUGGGUCUGGGAAAGUUAUUGUUUCGGUGGGGGAUGGGCUCGCGGCCUAUCAGCUUGUUGGUGUGGUGAUGGCCUACCAAGGCGGUGAGGAGUAGCCGUCCUGAGAGGAUGGACGGUCAUAGUAGUGCGACGACGCGGAGCAUACUCCUACGGGAAGCAGCAGGGGGGAAUAUGGCACGAUGGGCGCAAGCCUGGUGCAGCGACGCGGCGUGAGGGAUGGACGCCGUCGGGUUGAGAACCGCUUUCGGGAGUGAAGCAGGCCUGACGCGUCUGUGGGUGUGUUGACGGUAGCUAGAUAAGAAGCGCCGGCUAACUACGUG
rnacentral:rRNA from 1 species